rnacentral:rRNA from 1 species
CUUAAAUUGAAGAGUUUGAUCAUGGCUCAGAUUGAACGCUGGCGGCAGGCCUAACACAUGCAAGUCGAGCGGCAGCGGGAAGAAGCUUGCUUCUUUGCCGGCGAGCGGCGGACG